rnacentral:tRNA from 1 species
GGAUAUGUGGCUUAGUGGUAAAGCACUUGCCUAGCAUGUACAAGGUCCUAGGUUUGAUCCCCAGCACUGCCA